rnacentral:rRNA from 1 species
GACGAACGCUGGCGGCGUGCUUAACACAUGCAAGUCGAACGGAAAGGCCCUGCUUUUGUGGGGUGCUCGAGUGGCGAACGGGUGAGUAACACGUGAGUAACCUGCCCUUGACUUUGGGAUAACUUCAGGAAACUGGGGCUAAUACCGGAUAGGAGCUCCUGCUGCAUGGUGGGGGUUGGAAAGUUUCGGCGGUUGGGGAUGGACUCGCGGCUUAUCAGCUUGUUGGUGGGGUAGUGGCUUACCAAGGCUUUGACGGGUAGCCGGCCUGAGAGGGUGACCGGCCACAUUGGGACUGAGAUACGGCCCAGACUCCUACGGGAGGCAGCAGUGGAGAAGAGUGCACAAUGGGCGGAAGCCUGAUGCAGCAACGCCGCGUGCGGGAUGACGGCCUUCGGGUUGUAAACCGCUUUCGCCUGUGACGAAGCGUGAGUGACGGUAAUGGGUAAAGAAGCACCGGCUAACUACGUG